rnacentral:rRNA from 1 species
ACGCAAGUAGUGAGGAAGGUGGGGANGANGUCAAGUUAUCAUGGCCCUUACGCNUAGGGNUACACACGUGNUACAAUGGCAUCUACAACGCGNUGCAAUACCGUGAGGUGGAGCGAAUCGCUAAAAAGAUGUCUCAGUUCAGAUCGGAGUNUGCAACUNGACUCCGUGAAGGUGGAAUUGCUAGUAAUCGGGGGUCAGCACACCCCGGUGAAUACGUUUCCCGGGCCUUGUACACACCGCCCGUCACGCCAUGAAAGCCGGGAG